GAGGGUAUAGCUCAGUGGUUGAGUGUGUGCUUAGCAUGCACAAGGUCCUGGGUUCAAUCCCCAGUACCUACA
rnacentral:tRNA from 1 species